GUCGAGGUUCCCUGGUUGCCGUCUUUUGAAAACUCCUAGUUAUCAGCAGCAUUUUGCCGUCGUUCACUCUUAUGAAUAGCAGGUUGAUGCUCAGGACUGAUGAAGACUUUGUGCUAUUGAGGAUCUCUGCAAGCCUGUGAAUCAAGCUACAUCAUGUCAGUAUGAUACAGGGUGUCCCACUUGAAAGUAGCCCUGAAAGUAUUUCAGUGAAGCCCCUUCUACCUGGGUCAGAACUUACCCCGGCAGGACCCGGUGUCAUGUGGGUCAGGUGCUGUGUUGCUCUCUGAAAUCACUUCAUCUGGAGGAAAUGAAAGCCUGAUAACAGAAGUUGAAUGUUGAGGGGCAUGAGCAACAUAUGUUUGAGAUUUCCUUUGAUCAAAUGCUUUUAAGCUUGAUACCAGCUGGAGUGAGACGUGCAGUAGCAGGACUAUGUUCUCUAAAGCAAUAAUAUUAUGUAUAACUUAUGGGAGAUAAGAGGAAUGUGUUUAAAAAAAAAAAACGAAGCUGCCAAAUUCCCCUGUAAAAAUAGUAACCAUACUUUAACAACCCUGGGUCUGCUGUAACCGGGUUCUGGAAGGUUCUGUGACCCAGAGUCAAAGGUUCAAUUUCAGCAGGUGUUCAGGGACGUCAGAGAUGGGAGAAUCGCCACCAAUCAGAUGCCCGGUUACAACAUUGUUGUCACAAAUCAGGGGAUAAGAUCAAUCAAGGACUGGAGAGUGGGAAGCUGCGACUUUCUUUUCUUUUCUUUGAUUAUUUUGUCACAGUCUGAGUAGCACUAGACUGCUCAGCUGUAGUUGUAUCACAGGCUGGUAAAGCAACAUGCUUAAUAAACCACUUAAUAAACUGGCUUAAUAACACUACAUUCAAGAACCUGAAAUACCUGUGUGAGCCUGCCUUCAUUUCCCACACAACGCUACAUUACAUUUAACAUGCUUCUAAAAUACAAUUAACACCCUGCUUUACCAUUUGUUACAUUCUUUCUUAUGUUUACUUAUGCCUUGUCAUGCCAAAUUGAAUGGGAUGGGGUAUUGAAUUCAAGGUUUCUUAAGCUUCAAAUGCAACCCCUGAAAACAAAAUAGUUAAAGUCUAGAGCUUUGAAAACAUGUCUCUAAGUUGCAUAUAGUUUUAAUAUUUAUCUCUAAACAUCUCUCAUCUUUACAUAAUAUUAAUGUUACCUAGAUUCUUCUAUAUUAAUGAUGACAAUGAAUAAGACAACUGUAUGGUGGUGUGUUUACGGCUUCCAGGGGCUUCCACCCAGGGAGUCAGCAGCAGGAAGGAAGGGCAACUAGUUGAAUAACAGGAAGCCUGGCCAAGAUUGUGACAUCCCCAGUACAUUCCUCCAGGCAUACCUGUCAUCCACCUGGCCUGGCACUUAGGAUGCAGGCCUUUCUUUCUUAUUAUGCAUCUGUGAGGGCAGGGGUCAGUAGGUUCAAACUUGGUUCCAACUCUAACUCUUUGCAAUAACAUUUUACCAAAAAGAACCAUAUAAAUUUUCAAAACUGUCAACAUAAAAAAUAUGAUGUAGAUUAGUAUUUUAACUUUGUAAAACAUGCAGGCGAGUUGUUAGCAAUCCUGAUCAGGUUCACCAAAAAAACAUGCUUAAAGUAAAGGCCACUGAAAAAAAAAAGUUUCUUCUAGAAAUACAGAUAUCUAAUGCUGCAUCUAAAUACCAUUUAUUAUAACACAUUCUCAAGACAAAUAGAAUUCUAACAAAUGAAAAAUGAUGAGGCAC